UACGUAGGGUGCGAGCGUUAAUCGGAAUUACUGGGCGUAAAGGGUGCGCAGGCGGCUUCGCAAGUCAGCCGUGAAAUCCCCGAGCUUAACUUGGGAAUUGCGUUUGAAACUACGGAGCUGGAGUGUGGCAGAGGGAGGUGGAAUUCCACGUGUAGCGGUGAAAUGCGUAGAUAUGUGGAGGAACACCGAUGGCGAAGGCAGACUCCUGGGCCGACACUGACGCUCAUGCACGAAAGCGUGGGGAGCAAACAGG
rnacentral:rRNA from 1 species